rnacentral:lncRNA from 1 species
CCUAAAACACACGAGAAAAACAAUUUAGAGGUCAGGGAAAGGUUUAUGUUGGCUCCUGGUUUCAGUCCAGAGGUCUCCUUGCUCCAUUGCUUUGAGCCUGGGAAGGGGCAGAGCAUCAUGGCAGAGGCAUAGUAAAGAAAAAAUUUUGGUGCUCACAGCAGCCUGGAAGCAGAGACAAAGAGAGAGCAAGGGGCCAGUGACAAGAAAUAACCUUCCAGGGCAUCCCCCUUCUGCCAGUAAUCUACUUCUUCCAACCACACCUCUGCCUACAGUUUCCACCAACUCCCAGAAGUCAAUUCAGCUGUCAAUGUGUCAGUCCACUGAUAAGGUCAGAGCCUUUGUGACCAAUCAUUUCCCAAAAGCCCCACCUCUGAACACUGCUGCAUUGGGGACCAAGCUUUCAGCACAUGAGCAUUUUAGAUCUAAACCAUAACAACAGGUUGCCAGGAAGUAAACCACAGCAUAUACUGAUAGACCAUAUCAUCCUUUCUUCAAAAAUAUUCUUAAGUUAAAAAUCUUGCAGCUAUAGAGGCCUAAGGGGUUCACUGAUUUAAUUGCUAACAACUUAUGCUUCCAUCUACUACCAUUGAAAGAUGACUAGUAAUGAUGAGUUAAUUCUCACAGGACCUACUGAGAGAAUUUGUUCUUUUCACAUGUCUGUAGAAAACUGAAAUCAUUAAUGAAAAAUAAAAGAUGAUAGAAUAGGAAGAAAGCUUUAAGAAAAGGGAAUAAAAUCUACUUGAAAUAAAAUGCUCCUGUCCCCUCAUCUCUAUGCCCAUUUAUUUUCUUCAACAAUUUUUAUGCU